rnacentral:rRNA from 1 species
GACGAACGCUGGCGGCGUGCUUAACACAUGCAAGUCGAACGGAAAGGCCCUGCUUUUGUGGUGUGCUCGAGUGGCGAACGGGUGAGUAACACGUGUGUAACCUGCCCUUGACUUUGGUAUAACUUCAGGAAACUGGGGCUAAUACCGGAUAAGAGCUCCUGCUGCAUGGUGGGGGAUGGAAAGUUUCGGCGGUUGGGGAUGGACUCGCGGCUUAUCAGCUUGUUGGUGGGGUAGUGGCUUACCAAGGCUUUGACGGGUAGCCGGCCUGAGAGGGUGACCGGCAACAUUGGGACUGAGAUACGGCCAAGACUCCUACGGGAGGAAGAAGUGGGGAAUAUGGCACAAUGGGCGGAAGCCUGAUGCAGCAACGCCGCGUGCGGGAUGACGGCCUUCGGGUGGUAAACCGCUUUCGCCUGUGACGAAGCGUGAGUGACGGUAAUGGGUAAAGAAGCACCGGCUAACUACGUG